rnacentral:misc_RNA from 1 species
AGAACGGAUUAUUCGAGUAGACGAAAUAUUUCACUUAAGCGCGAAAACUGUAAAACAAUUUUAAUAAUUAAUAUAUUAUUUCAUUUCUUACCACCGGUAAUUUUUCGUCAGUUUUUUCCAGCGAAUAUUAAUUAAUAUUGGUCGGGAAAGUUAAGUUUACCCGUCUGGCAACGUUGUUUCACCUGUAGUGUACUGCGUGUGUUUUUGUAGUGUUUAAAGAGAAUUAAUUGGGCGACGUCGACAAAUUAGGACAGAAAUCCUUUAUGGAAACGCCGUGUUUGUCGGAACUGCGCACGAUAUUAAAUCGUCUUAGAUUAUUAUGCAUUUUCGUCUUCAUUUGACGUUUGUUUACGAAUUAUCGGCAAAUAUGAAAUGGUUUUGAAAUGAAGUUUACCAACAAAUGGAAUUUCGUCCAAAGAAAAGGCGUUUUUGGGGGACUGUUGGCCUUCUGUAUUGGCGGAGGUUACUUAGCACGUGAAGUUUAUACCAGUGAAGGCAUGUGGAAUGCAAUAAAUUCUAUAUCUUACAAAGCUCCGAAAGAAGACAAAGAAUCAGAUUACAUAUAUUUAUCCAAGAGUUACAAAGAUGAUUUAGAUAAUGAAGAAGUAAAUAAAUAUAGCUGGUGGCCAUGGAAUAAGAAAGAACACAAAAUUCAAUGGCAUCUGUUGAGACUCGCCCAGUCCAAAGAUCGACAGGUGCGGCACGUGGCCGUCAAAGCACUGUCCGAAUUGCCUCAUUUAAACGAUUCUGAAUUUAGAGAAAUUGCCCAAGCCUGUGACAUGCGUACGGCAAUCGGUUUAGCCAGAACUCACGGGACCGAUCUUCGAUUCUUUUUAUUGCCGUCGAUACAUACGGAAUAUUCGGAGAAUGAAAUUGAAACAGAGCUUAAAAAUUUAUUAGCAAGUUUGCCAGACAAAGAUAUCAGCAAAUGCAUUCAAUAUUUCACUCAACAGGCUAUCAAAAUUGGUUAUCAGAAAGUCGAGUCUGAUAAUAAACUCGAAUGGAAUAUCGACAACGAACUGAAUGGAGUUUCUGCUCAGAUGGAAUUUCGUCCGCGUUCGGUUUCUCACGAAACAAUCGUAAAAACGUGUCUUCGGGCACUCUUGAGUCACAGCACCAUUUUAUAUCAUCGAAAAUUAAUAGUCGAGAAAGGAAUAUUAUUACUGCUGCAUCGCAUUAACAAUCAUCAUAAAAAUCAUGAAGUAACGAGUUUAAUCAUUCAAAUAUUAGGCAAUCUUGUUGAAGAUAAAAGCCUUCAUAAGCAUUUAUUUAUGACUGGUUGGAUUCGAACAUUGACUUCAUUAUCGAGAUCACCACACUUGGAGCUUUCGUUGCCCGCCAGUAGAGCUUUAGUCAAUUUAGAUAGUGAUAAAUUUUCUGACGAAGUUUAUGAAGAUGGAAUUUAUCUUUUAUAUCCACAACUACGAGGGAGGGACAAACAUCUAAAUGCGGAUGUCAUUUUUAUUCAUGGUCUUCUCGGAGGAGCGUUUCGAACUUGGAGGCAGAAGGAUGAAAUGAAAUUAGAAGUUAAAGACCAACAGAUAACUCUGGAAAAUGACAAAGUCUGGGUUACUCCCGACAAACAAAAAGAGCCGUCGUUUCCUCCAUCUACUUUUGGUACCAUACUUGAAGAUUACACAUUUUGUUGGCCAAAGGAUUGGUUGUCUCGUGAAUGUCCGCAUCUUCGAAUUCUGGCAGUAGAUUACUACUCUCAUUUUACCGUCUGGAAGGACGAGUGUCGCUUUGAAACCGAAAAUCGCUCUCUAUUAAGUAGAAGUAAUGAGAUUUUGAAGAAGUUAGUAGCCGCGGGUGUCGGUAACAAACCCAUAAUAUGGGUCACUCAUUCCAUGGGAGGAUUGUUAGUAAAACAAAUGCUUCUCGAAGCAGCCAAAAACAGAGAUCCCAGCAUUAGAAACGUGUUAGAGAAUUCAGUUGGCGUAGUGUUUUGUAGCGUACCUCACCGAGGAAGUUCUUUGGCCACUGUGGAUUCCGGCUGGAAACUAAUAUUACUUCCGACUAAAGAAGUGAAAGAAUUGAAAAAAGAUUCCUCGUAUCUUUUGGACAUGCACGAGAAGUUUAAACAGUUGGCCAAGAAGCACGACAUCUCUUGUCUUAGUUUCGGAGAAACCCAAAAAACCAACCUGGGCUUGAAAUUAAGCACGUUGAUGGUGUCUCUGGAUUCCUCAGAUCCGUCGAUCGGCGAAUUUUACGCACUUCCGGAGAAUCAUCUGAACACCUGUAAGCCGGAAACGAAGUCCUCCGUCAUGUAUCAGCUGCUGGUGGAUUUCAUCCAUCAGCACGUGCCGCACACUCUGAUGGAAAAUUUGCUUCAGGACCACAACGUCAGUGCCGAAGAUUUAGAAACCACCGUGGUCAUGGGAUUAGUGCAAUAGAUUUUUGUAUACAAUUUAAUUAAAGACAAUAUUUUUAAAUACGUAUAUGUAAUAAUGUCUUUGGUUUAUCAUAAUAUAUUCUUUAUGCAGAUGCCUUAGUCCAUUGUAAAACGUCCAUCGAAUUUACGGUGGAAAGUAUGUGCGGAAUUGCGGAUACGACCGGGCCCAAUUACUUUUUCGAUUCUCUCGAACGCUCAAAGUCGUAGUUUAUUUUGUUUUUAUAAAGAAAUUUCUUCAGGCAAGUUAGAGAGAGACAUUUUCUUCGGAAUGUAUAUUUACAAUUAUGCAUUUUUGAUUACGCGAUCCGAACUCCGGUUCCUCUGUAUUUGGAUCGUCGUCCCGCUUCAUCGAAGUCCAUACGUAAGCAUGAAUACUUAAAAACACACACAAGAACAUUCCAUCUUUAAGGGAAAUUCUAUUGUUAGAACUGGUAAAUAAUUUCCCAUGUGGAUGUUAAAAUCCAAAAGUUUAGUGAAAUCUGUUUUUUAUACUUUUUCUUUAUUAUUUAUAUAGUGUGGACCCCAAGAAAACGGGUCUAAUCUGAGAUAAUUUCGAGAAAAGUAUUAUGAAAACCAAAGAUAUUACCGAACGGUCGGGGUACCCAAAAUUUGCGUAUUAAAUUUCCUAUAAAUCGGAUGCAGGGUAUGAUUUUAGGAUUGUUGUUGCCAACGAAAACUUUUGACUAGUAAAUAAAUUUUUUUCAUUUA